ACUUCAGUUUCAACUCUCAAAGAAAUUACUAGUCACAGAUGAUUCCCCAGGAAGUAGAAAGAGAGUAAUUUGGCAGCUGAGAUUUGGAAACAGCAUAAUGAUGUCAUGUCUUUCGACUCUCAAAGUGCCAUCACCAAUGCUGAACCAAAACAAGUGGCUUCUAAAGAGUCAUCGAAAAAUACUUUCCACUGAACCCAGUGAUCAAGUUGCUCAUCAUCCUGGACCUUCUUCAGAUUCUACAAUAUAUCUGCUUUGCUUAAUCAUUGGUCACUUUUGAAGGGUGUAGUAGAACUGGAGAAUGAUCAGAACAGUAACUACUUUCAAACUUUACACAAGGCAUCAUAGUUAGCAUAGACUCAGAUAUCAGGAAAAAGUCAAGUCUAGCUUGUUUGAGUGGAUUUUUUCGUCUCCAGCACCCCAAAGAAGAGCUACGUGUGAGCUUGUGACUGCAACAUUUCUCGCUUGGAGCCACGGCCUGUUCCGCCCACUGUCUGUAUCUCGGACACAUGUGUGGUUAUUGCGACAGCCACAAAGUCGCUAUAAUAAUCAGAAGUUAG